UACGAGAGGCCCAAACGUUAUUCGGAAUUACUGGGCGUAAAGCGUGCGCAGGCGGUUUUGUAAGUCUGACGUGAAAUCCCCGGGCUCAACCUGGGAAUUGCGUUGGAGACUGCAAGGCUGGAGUCUGGCAGAGGGGGGUAGAAUUCCACGUGUAGCAGUGAAAUGACGUAGAGAUGUGGAGGAACACCGAUGGCGAAGGCAGCCCCCUGGGUCAAGACUGACGCUCAUGCAC
rnacentral:rRNA from 1 species